rnacentral:lncRNA from 1 species
GAAAGAGAUCUAGCUUUAGAUGGAUCUGCAUUAAAGGGAGCUGCAGGAGAUGUAAUUUAAAUAAACCUUUUUCAAUUUUACUUGAGAUAAUAUAUGAAGUUUUUAUUAUUUUUUAGUUUUUCAGGCUUACUUUAUAACGAAUAUGGAACCAAUACAANCUUAAAAAUUCACAUAAGAGGACCUGCUCCGUGAUUCAACAACUUCUCAAUAUCCUUCUCAUUUAUGUGCUGAAAGAGAUCUAGCUUUAGAUGGAUCUGCAUUAAAGGGAGUUGCAGGAGAUGUAAUUUAAAUAAACCUUUUUCAAUUUUACUUGAGAUAAUAUAUGAAGUUUUUAUUAUUUUUUAGUUUUUCAGGCUUACUUUAUAACGAAUAUGGAACCAAUACAAUUUUGGGAGUUCAUGUCACUUAUUCUUGUAGGUCUUGGUUAUGAAAGGUAUAUUCUUCUUAUU